CAGGAUGGCGGCCCCGGUGCACCCCGGCGCGCCGCACUCUGUGAAGUUGGACACGCGUAACAAUCAGAGUGGCAGCCGGGCUGUGGGCUCACCCUCCUUCCCUGGAGGGACAGCGGCUCGCCCAACGCUGCUCGCCGCCUCCUGGGGCGCCCAGUUCUCUUUCCAAGCGAGGGAUCCCGCGAUUAGACUGGAACUCUGGAAGGAGAUGCAUUUGCAAGUCACAAGAAACAUUAUGGCAACAUAGCAGUAUCUUGUUUCAUUGGUAGGGAAGAGGCCAAAGGUCUUGAGAAUGGAGCCCUGAGGAUGCACAGCUGUUAACCAGCAGCCACGGUAUAGGUCAGAAGUAGCUGCCUUCCCAUAGUGCAGGAGUCCUCAAGUUGACCUCCAUGAGGAAACUGGGGAACAGCAGUCUUCUGCAGGGUCAGAAGUAACAGUGAUCUGGAGCUAUGGAGGAAGUAUGGUGUUCUAACGCUCGUGAAACACACUGAACUGUGUAACCGUGGGAGACUCCUUGUUGGAUUUCUCUUCAGAUAAAGUCUCUUUACAUAGCCUGGCUGUCCUAGAACUUACGAUGUAAACCAGGCUGGUUUUGAACUUGCAGAGAUCCACCUGCCUCUGCUUCCUGAGUGAUGGGACUAAAGGCAUAUGCCACCAUGCCCAGCUCAGGAGGUCACUGUUUUAGAGUGAGCUCCUGAACCAGGUCCACAGUGAGUCACUCGUGCUGAAGCUACAAGGCCAAUUAGAAAUCGCAAGGGCUUAGAUCCCCACACACUUAGAUCAUUAUUCCUGGUUUGUUGGAUUCCAUUUUAUGGAUAACAAGGGAUGCGGUACAAAGGAAGUCCUCUCUGUUAGAGCACUUAGAGCAGAGCAAACCCAGGGAAUCUGGCCUGGGGUCUUAUUUCUACUGGUAUUUUCUUGCUCUUUCUAUAUAAAAUCUACCAUUCUUCCAUCUCCCAGUGGGAUCCUGAGUAAAAGUCAAUACAGCCC
ensembl:lncRNA